CGCGGCCGCGGCCGCAACGAGGGCUUUCGCGCCGCUGUCGACCGCAGCUACGAGGCGCCGCUGACCAACGUGCGGGACCGCGUGGGGACUCUGCCGCUGGCGGCUGACGCCGAUUUUGUCACCUAUCUUGCGGACGAGGGGGCGGUGCCGGGCUUCGGCCGCGACCGAGCCGCCCGCCAGAGCUCCAUGAGCUCAGGUACUGUCGACACCAAGAAGGCGAAGCGACGCUCCGGCCUGCUGAAGAGACUCGGCAGUAUGUUCAGGUUCGGCCGGCACCGCAAGGGCGGUGAGGCGGCGGACGCGGCGCUGCGCCGGACGCCCGACGAGCCGCGCCAGCAGCAACAAGAGCUCAACAGGAUUGCGGCCUGGCGCCGAGCCGAGGACAUGCAGC
rnacentral:lncRNA from 1 species